CUUCCUUUCUUUUUCCUUCUUCCUUUUCUCGGGGGCGCCGCGGCGGGAGGACGUAACGGCGUGGCGUUGAGGCGGCGCCUGGUGGUUUAAUUAAUUUCAAGGGUGCCGUUUGUCGGGGACGUGCCGCUAUUAUCAAGAGCAGGGUCACGCCUCGAACUGUGUCAGGGUGUUAAAGUGCGAUAACUUCUAACUAGGUUCACGACCUCCGCUCUCCAAACUCCCCGCGUACACACGUAUAUUCGAACACCUGCACCAACUUUGCCCCCCCCCGACUGCAGCGGCGAGGCAGAGAAAUCUAAAAGUUAUCCUCGAAGCCCGUGACGGGCGACCGGCUCGCCGGAUGCUUUCCAAAGUCCCUUUUCUCUUUCAAUUUUUCUUUUUUUUUUGUCUUUCUCCGCUCUUCUUUUCUCUCCGCGUACUUCGAGUUCCGUGUGCAACGAACGCGAAGCUCGCGAAGAGCGCGGGUUUACGAAAGAGGAGGGGAAAAGAAAAAAAAUAAAAAAAUCGCGCGAGGAAAGUUUUUAGAAAUAAAUAAAAGUGGAGACAAGUAUACACCGCGUGUAUAUGGUAUUGUACAUUUUAUGCACAAGAGAGGAGAUGGAAAAUACUCGUGGAGACCUACGGCAACAAUUAGUACGUAAUAGACACGGAGUUUCGCCUGAUGAGAUA
rnacentral:misc_RNA from 1 species